UACGUAGGUGGCAAGCGUUGUCCGGAUUUACUGGGCGUAAAGGGAGCGUAGGCGGACUUUUAAGUGAGAUGUGAAAUACCCGGGCUCAACUUGGGUGCUGCAUUUCAAACUGGAAGUCUAGAGUGCAGGAGAGGAGAAUGGAAUUCCUAGUGUAGCGGUGAAAUGCGUAGAGAUUAGGAAGAACACCAGUGGCGAAGGCGAUUCUCUGGACUGUAACUGACGCUGAGGCUCGAAAGCGUGGGGAGCAAACAGGAUUAGAUACCCCGUA
rnacentral:rRNA from 1 species